GCCAUUCAAGAGGGGCUGCCCAGUGAAGGCAUCGACAAACCUCUCAAGGCUAUAGUCAAAGAUAGAAAACUUGGGGAACAAAUACAGAGACCUGUGCAAGAAACGAUGUAUAGGUCAAGAUGCAAUCGCAUGGAAAUAUUUUUGGGAGCUGCAUGAAUUCCUUGGAACACUUCCUGUCAAUCAGAAAUCAUUACCGGACGAAAUUGGCUGCAGCAGUGCUACUGUUGGCAAGCUUGUUCACCACAUGGUGCACGGCAAAGAUUACAAUUCUGAGGAUGUAGUGCUGGAUGAAAUCGCCAGCCAUCCACCAUCACCACAGGUAUCAGAACGCAGUGAUGACGCCAUUCUUCCAGUAGUAGAAACGGAUGCGUCAUCUGCGCCACCUGCAUUGGCAGGAAAAUGCCAAUAAGAGGAAGAACACAGAGGGAAUGCCUACUUGCACAGAUGAUCGAAGAACCAAAGAAAACGGGACUUGUAUAUGAGAAAUCGAAAGAGGACAACUCUUAUCGUGAAUGUGUUCUUGUGCUGCAUGAGAAGGCUGCCGAGCGGGAAAAAAAGACUGAUUUCCAUCUUGGCGGAGAUCAACAAAAAAUAAAUGCCUUCUGAGCCAUUCCAGUCUCUUGUGUUAUUCUUUUGCAAGAAACUUAUGACUGCAGAUGCAUGCUGAGCAACUGGCUUGUAUAUAACUUCCAAUGACCAAUAACUAACAACUGUUGGAAGCAAGAUGUACCGAUGUUUAAGUUCCCUUGUUGGUAAUCAAAUUAAAUGUAUGAAUUGCAUGUGUGGUAUUCACAUUGGAAUUGAAAGUUGCACUACAGCAUAAAAGUAAAAGAGCGAGAAAUCUUGGAAGCGCACUACAUCAGUUUAUUAGGUGAUGACUGCGUUAGUACAACCUCAGUGCGCUUACAUGAAAAAGAAUUUGAAUUUCUAAGUCGGUCCCAAUAGAAACGUUUCUUGUCUUUUCAUGCUAUGUGAUUAGUGAUGAUGCAGUUGCGCAUGCUCUGCUGGCCUUGCUGGGACUACACCGAUUCUAAUAAACCUCAGUUGAUAAACCAGUCGUUGUGGC